rnacentral:rRNA from 1 species
ACUUACAGCCAUGCUACUCUGAACAUGUCUGAUCUUGGAAGCUAGGCAAGGUGAGGCCUGGUUAGUACCUGGAUGGGAGACCAUGUGGGAAUACAAGGUGCUGUAGACU